rnacentral:rRNA from 1 species
CCUACGGGUGGCAGCAGUGGGGAAUAUUGGACAAUGGGGGGAACCCUGAACCAGCGACGCCGCGUGAGUGAAGACGGAUUUCUGUAUGUAAAACUCUAUCCGCAGGGAGGAAAAUGACGGUACCUGACUAAGAAGCCCCGGCUAACUACGUGCCAGCAGCCGCGGUAAUACGUAGGGGGCAAGCGUUAUCCGGAUUUACUGGGUGAAAAGGGGGCGUAGACGGUGCAGCAAGUCUGAUGUGAAAUGUCGGGGCUCAACCCCGGGACUGCCUUGGAAACUGUUGAACUGGAGUACAGGAGAGGUAAGCGGAAUGUCUAGUGUAGCGGUGAAAUGCGUAGAGAUUAGGAGGAACACCAGUGGCGAAGGCGGCUUACUGGACUGUAACUGACGUUGAGGCUCGAAAGCGUGGGGAGCAAACAGGAUUAGAUACCCCAGUAGUC